UAGAAAUGAGGAUUAACCCCCGAUGGCGUGGAUUUUCCGCAUGGGAUAUCCACUAAAGUUUACGGCACGGGAUGGGGAUGCGUUCCAUUAGAUGGUAGGCGGGGCAACGGCCCACCUAGUCGACGAUGGAUAGGGGUUCUGAGAGGAAGGUCCCCCACAUUGGAACUGAGACACGGUCCAAACUCCUACGGGAGGCAGCAGUGAGGAAUAUUGGUCAAUGGGCGCGAGCCUGAACCAGCCAAGUAGCGUGGAGGAAGAAUGCCCUACGGGUUGUAAACUCCUUUUGGCGGAGGAUAACGUGCGCCACGUGUGGUGCAGUGCAGGUAUCCGCCGAAUAAGGGCCGGCUAAUUCCGUGCCAGCAGCCGCGGUAAUACGGAAGGCCCGAGCGUUAUCCGGAUUUAUUGGGUUUAAAGGGAGCGUAGGCGGGAGCUCAAGUCAGCUGUGAAACUGCGCCGCUCAACGGCGCCGAGCAGUUGAAACUGGGUUUCUUGAGUCCGCAAGAGGUGCGUAGAA
rnacentral:rRNA from 1 species